rnacentral:rRNA from 1 species
CCUUUAAAGAAAGCGUAAUAGCUCACUAGUCGAGUCGGCCUGCGCGGAAGAUGUAACGGGGCUAAAACUAUAUGCCGAAGCUGCGGAUUUGCAAUUUAUUGCAAGUGGUAGGGGAGCGUUCUGUAAGCCGAUGAAGGUGUAUUGAGAAGUAUGCUGGAGGUAUCAGAAGUGCGAAUGCUGACGUGAGUAACGACAAUGCGAGUGAAAAACUCGCACGCUGAAAGACCAAGGGUUCCAGUCCAACGUUAAUCGGGGCUGGGUGAGUCGACCCCUAAGGCGAGGCCGAGAGGCGUAGUCGAUGGGAAAUUGGUUAAUAUUCCAAUACUUCUGUGUAAUGCGAUGAGAGGACGGAGAAGGUUAAGUCAGCCUGGCGUUGGUUGUCCAGGUGGAAGGUUGUAGGCAUGUAUCUUAGGCAAAUCCGGGGUACUCUAUGCUGAGAACUGAUAGCAAGCUGUACUUGUACAGUGAAGUGGCUGAUACCAUGCUUCCAGGAAAAGUCUCUAAGCUUCAGUUACACAGGAAUCGUACCCGAAACCGACACAGGUGGUCAGGUCGAGUAGACCAAAGCGCUUGAGAGAACUCUGCUGAAGGAACUAGGCAAAAUGGUACCGUAACUUCGGGAGAAGGUACGCUGCCGACGGUGAUAGGAUUUACUCCUUGAGCUAUUGGCAGCCACAGAAACCAGGCCCCUGCAACUGUUUAUUAAAAACAUAGCACUCUGCAAACACGAAAGUGGACGUAUAGGGUGUGAUGCCUGCCCGGUGCUGGAAGGUUAAUUGAUGGGGUUAGCGUAAGCGAAGCUCUUGAUCGAAGCCCCAGUAAACGGCGGCCGUAACUAUAACGGUCCUAAGGUAGCGAAAUUCCUUGUCGGGUAAGUUCCGACCUGCACGAAUGGCAUAAUGAUGGGGGCGCUGUCUCCAGCAGAGACUCAGUGAAAUCGAAUUCGCCGUGAAGAUGCGGUGUACCCGCGGCUAGACGGAAAGACCCCGUGAACCUUUACUGCAGCUUGACAUUGAACUUUGAUCUUACUUGUGUAGGAUAGGUGGGAGGCUUUGAAACCGAGACGCUAGUUUCGGUGGAGCCAAUCUUGAAAUACCACCCUGGUAAUAUUGAGGUUCUAACUCUGCUCCAUUAUCUGGAGCGAGGACCAUGUCUGGUGGGUAGUUUGACUGGGGCGGUCUCCUCCUAAAGAGUAACGGAGGAGUACGA